GCCGAGAUAGUCUAGCCUGGUAAGGCGCGGGACUUGAAAUCCCGUGGUGUAAUAGCCGCCUGGGUUCAAAUCCCAGUCUCGGCG
rnacentral:tRNA from 3 species